rnacentral:rRNA from 1 species
AGAGUUUGAUCCUUUCUCAGAUUGAACGCUGGCGGCAGGCCUAACACAUGCAAGUCGAGCGGUAGAGAGAAGCUUGCUUUUCUUGAGAGCGGCGGACGGGUGAGUAAUGCCUAGGAAUCUGCCUGGUAGUGGGGGAUAACGUUCGGAAACGGACGCUAAUACCGCAUACGUCCUACGGGAGAAAGCAGGGGACCUUCGGGCCUUGCGCUAUCAGAUGAGCCUAGGUCGGAUUAGCUAGUUGGUGAGGUAAUGGCUCACCAAGGCGACGAUCCGUAACUGGUCUGAGAGGAUGAUCAGUCACACUGGAACUGAGACACGGUCCAGACUCCUACGGGAGGCAGCAGUGGGGAAUAUUGGACAAUGGGCGAAAGCCUGAUCCAGCCAUGCCGCGUGUGUGAAGAAGGUCUUCGGAUUGUAAAGCACUUUAAGUUGGGAGGAAGGGCAGUAAAUUAAUACUUUGCUGUUUUGACGUUACCGACAGAAUAAGCACCGGCUAACUCUGUGCCAGCAGCCGCGGUAAUACAGAGGGUGCAAGCGUUAAUCGGAAUUACUGGGCGUAAAGCGCGCGUAGGUGGUUUGUUAAGUUGGAUGUGAAAUCCCCGGGCUCAACCUGGGAACUGCAUUCAAAACUGACUGACUAGAGUAUGGUAGAGGGUGGUGGAAUUUCCUGUGUAGCGGUGAAAUGCGUAGAUAUAGGAAGGAACACCAGUGGCGAAGGCGACCACCUGGACUAAUACUGACACUGAGGUGCGAAAGCGUGGGGAGCAAACGGGAUUAGAUACCCUGGUAGUCCACGCCGUAAACGAUGUCAACUAGCCGUUGGAAGCCUUGAGCUUUUAGUGGCGCAGCUAACGCAUUAAGUUGACCGCCUGGGGAGUACGGCCGCAAGGUUAAAACUCAAAUGAAUUGACGGGGGCCCGCACAAGCGGUGGAGCAUGUGGUUUAAUUCGAAGCAACGCGAAGAACCUUACCAGGCCUUGACAUCCAAUGAACUUUCUAGAGAUAGAUUGGUGCCUUCGGGAACAUUGGGACAGGUGCUGCAUGGCUGUCGUCAGCUCGUGUCGUGAGAUGUUGGGUUAAGUCCCGUAACGAGCGCAACCCUUGUCCUUAGUUACCAGCACGUCAUGGUGGGCACUCUAAGGAGACUGCCGGUGACAAACCGGAGGAAGGUGGGGAUGACGUCAAGUCAUCAUGGCCCUUACGGCCUGGGCUACACACGUGCUACAAUGGUCGGUACAGAGGGUUGCCAAGCCGCGAGGUGGAGCUAAUCCCACAAAACCGAUCGUAGUCCAGAUCGCAGUCUGCAACUCGACUGCGUGAAGUCGGAAUCGCUAGUAAUCGCGAAUCAGAAUGUCGCGGUGAAUACGUUCCCGGGCCUUGCACUCACCGCCCGUC